CCAGCACAUAGGUACACCAGCACACGCUCGCGUGCACACCCGCACACACCUAUGCACACCCUCCACACCCGCACACCCGGCUCCCUCUUCCUGCCCCGAUUUGCUUCCGGGAAAACACGUCCCGCCAGCAGCAGGCACUCGCCCGAAGUCACGCAGUGAGCUACUGGCAGAACUAGAUUUGAAAAGCUCUCGGCGGGGCAUUUCCCGCGUGGCCUCUAGGCAGCGCUAGACCCCUGUGAGUGGCUCCUGCUCCGUCCUCGGGAUUUUCCUCCUCCUCCUGCCACCCCUCCCACCCCUCAGUAUCGGCUCAAUCCCUGAUCUCGGGUUCUCUCUCUCUCUCUCUCUCUCUCUCUCUCUCUCUCUGUCUCUCUCUCUGUCUCUCUCUCUGUCUCUCUCUCUGUCUCUCUCUCUCUCUCUCCCGCUGCUCCUGCGUGAAGCGCGCAAAAGUCAAGCCACUUUUCUGAGCUCCAGCUCCUCUGCAAGAAGGGGGCCUCUGAGCUGAGCUAGGGCACCACCUCGCCCCCCGCUUCUUCGCCUACCACACGGCCCUGCCCCCGAGCACCUCCGCGGAACGUGAGGAGAAAGGAGUGUGAUUUGGCAGGGUCAGGUGUACGGAUUCCUGGAAGGAGCGGUGACAACGGGAAAGACUCAGAAGACGUCCAGAGUCCCAGCAGCAGCAGCGGAGGAUGAAUGAUGGGGAAGCACAUUGUGUGGUGAUUUGCCCGUUCGUGAAUAAAGAUUAAACUGCAGCUUCUCAGCCCAGCCGUGUGUCCGCGAGUCUCUCUCUGUCUACCACCAUGAAGCUAGCCUGGCCUACUGGAGCCUCCAAACAUUAACAACAAAUGGCGCCCAACGUGGGGCUGACCUGCGCAUCUCUCAGAUAAGUGAAGACAAUUUGGCUACCUAUGUACUAUGGCCUUCUCUUCUGCUUGUGAAGAGAUCUCCAAAGGCCUCUGCCCUUUCUUCACGAGACUGUUUCGCUGUUUCUGGAACAUUUAUCUCUGGACCACUCUGUGGUUUCUGCCCAACGCCAGCCUGCAGGAGCCCAAUGCCAGCCUGCAUGAGCUGGCUUUCUGCCACGUGGCGCGGGGCAUUGGGCGCGAGCUCCCUCCACACUGCUCGGCUGCGGGGAGCAGGGCAGCAGACAUGGCAGGGCCAUGGGGCAGGGCCGCGGCAGCCUAUCAUGGCCGCCACCCCAGGGCACCUUGGCCCACGCCUUCUGCAUGGCUGGCCCACCCACCCUUGUGCUAUGAAGUCUGGACAGAUCCCAGACCACCUGGAGACCGCAGGUUCCCUGCCGAAACUGGGCCCCCUGACCGAGAUCUCCAGCUUGGGUCUGAAGGCAGACAAGCUAGAAUACACAGAGAUUCGUCCAGAGAUCGCAACCUAAAAUUCCUAGAAGUGGAGCUGCAUGGAUGGUGACCCCCCCCCCCCAACAACUAAGACAGUACAGAUCUAAAUUCGUGUUUAAAAUGACAUGUCUUUGUAACAAAAGUUUCUCUCCUUGUGUAUUGAAGACCAUGUGUAUGUGUGUGUUUAAAGUUUGGUAACAUUAACUUUAAGGUUAAAAAUGUAACUUUAAGGCUAAAUUCUUACCAGGCAAAGUUAAAUGAAAAAGGUUUUCAACGUAAUUCUCAUAAAGAUAAAAUUAACUUACAUUUAAAGUCUGAGGUAAAAAUCAGUUAACAAUCAAUAUAUUUUAACUAAGUUGGUCUAAAAAAAAAACCUGCACACACCUAGGGUGUGUCUUCAUCUUGAAUGGGUGUAACAAAAGGUUAAAAAGACAUUGUUGAUAUGUAAAAGUCUCAAAUUCCUUCUCAAUUAGAAAUGUUAGGUUGCUAUGGUUACGCUAAUAAUUCUCAUGCCUGAGGCCUUUUUCUUUCUAUGGUUCAUGUUUGCCUUUCCACAUUUUAUUGUUUGAACUUUAAAUAGCCUUGGAAUCGUGCUGGAAGGGACUUCCAAUUGUGAUAGAGUUAUCAAUUGUGGUAAACUUCUAACCUGCUACAAGUUUUGUUUCAUAAGUAAGUGAAUUGCAGCUGUCAAGUUCUCUACAGAAAAGCAGAAUUCUGAUGGCUGACAUUCCCCAUCGAGACAGAUGUACAACAAUUCACCCCCUGGCAAUUCUUCGGUGGACAUCUGCUUUGGACUUCUAUCAGACUCACUGAUACACCUUGGACACUUUGCACAAAACUAGUGGCUUCCCUUAUGCUGCUGGGUUUCUCAAAGACUGACUGCAGCCAUGCCUUGGGACUCUAGGCCUCCCCCUCCCCCCAUGCUAGAAAAUGCCUGUCGAGGCAAGUACGCCCCCCAGAGGCAGGAAAUGUUUUUUUUAAGCUGAUAAAGUUUUGCCCACAGAGGCAAAAAAUGCCCCCCUCAGGCCUUCCCUUGGCAGCACACUGGUUCUUGUUACUUGCUUACAUGUUUCUCCAUGUUUGUGCCAGUUUCUUUUUUGAAAAUGCCUGUACGAUACAGGUUUCUGUUCACCCCACACCCCUGAUACUGUGGUCAUUUAGUUAAAAAGAAAAGGGGGAAUAUGUGGGUAUUCUUUGUGUUGGUUUGGCCCCCAUCCCCCUACCUCUGAGAGAAUUGGUUUGACCCUUGCUAGUUUCGCGCCCCGCUUUCUCCCUGCCCCCUAUGCUAAGGACGUCCAGAGUCCCAGCAGCAGCAGCGGAGGAAGAAUGAUGGGGAAACACAUGGUGUGGUGAUUUGCCCAUUUGUGAAUAAAGAUUAAACUGCAGCUUCUCAGCCCA